rnacentral:rRNA from 1 species
CGGAUCUUGGGUGGCUUGGGGUGGAUUAGUGGCGAACGGGUGAGUAACACGUGAGUAACCUGCCCUUAACUCUGGGAUAAGCCUGGGAAACUGGGUCUAAUACCGGAUAGGAGCGUCCACCGCAUGGUGGGUGUUGGAAAGAUUUAUCGGUUUUGGAUGGACUCGCGGCCUAUCAGCUUGUUGGUGAGGUAAUGGCUCACCAAGGCGACGACGGGUAGCCGGCCUGAGAGGGUGACCGGCCACACUGGGACUGAGACACGGCCCAGACUCCUACGGGAGGCAGCAGUGGGGAAUAUUGCACAAUGGGCGCAAGCCUGAUGCAGCGACGCCGCGUGAGGGAUGACGGCCUUCGGGUUGUAAACCUCUUUCAGUAGGGAAGAAGCGAAAGUGACGGUACCUGCAGAAGAAGCACCGGCUAACUACGUGCCAGCAGCCGCGGUAAUACGUAGGGUGCGAGCGUUAUCCGGAAUUAUUGGGCGUAAAGAGCUCGUAGGCGGUUUGUCGCGUCUGUCGUGAAAGUCCGGGGCUUAACCCCGGAUCUGCGGUGGGUACGGGCAGACUAGAGUGCGGUAGGGGAGACUGGAAUUCCUGGUGUAGCGGUGGAAUGCGCAGAUAUCAGGAGGAACACCGAUGGCGAAGGCAGGUCUCUGGGCUGUAACUGACGCUGAGGAGCGAAAGCAUGGGGAGCGAACAGGAUUAGAUACCCUGGUAGUCCAUGCCGUAAACGUUGGGCACUAGGUGUGGGGACCAUUCCACGGUUUCCGUGCCGCAGCUAACGCAUUAAGUGCCCCGCCUGGGGAGUACGGCCGCAAGGCUAAAACUCAAAGGAAUUGACGGGGGGCCCGCACAAGCGGCGGAGCAUGCGGAUUAAUUCGAUGCAACGCGAAGAACCUUACCAAAGGCUUGACAUGUUCUCGAUCGCCGUAGAGAUACGGUUUUCCCCUUUGGGGGCGGGUUCACAGGUGGUGCAUGGGUUGUCGUCAGCUCGUGUCGUGAGAUGUUUGGGUUAAAGUUCCCCGCAACGAGCGCAAACCCUCGGUUCCAUGUUUGCCAGCACGUUCGUGUUGGGAACUCAUGGGAGAAACUGCCGGGGGUCAACUUCCGGAGGAGGUUGAGGACCGACUUCAAUUCAUUCAUGACCCCCUUUAUGUUCAUUGGGAGCUUUCACCACGCACAAUGC